UCCUGGAUAGCUCAGUGAGUUAGAGUAUGGUGCGGAUGAUGCCAAGGUUGCAGGUUCAAUCCCCGUUCGGGAC